rnacentral:rRNA from 1 species
CCUGGUGCUUGCACUGGGUGGAUGAGUGGCGAACGGGUGAGUAAUACGUGAGUGACCUGCCUUUGACUCUGGGAUAAGCCUGGGAAACUGGGUCUAAUACCGGAUGCGACUACUGCCCGCAUGGGCUGGUGGUGGAAAGGGUUAUGUACUGGUCUUAGAUGGGCUCACGGCCUAUCAGCUGGUUGGUGGGGUAAUGGCCUACCAAGGCGACGACGGGUAGCCGGCCUGAGAGGGUGACCGGCCACACUGGGACUGAGACACGGCCCAGACUCCUACGGGAGGCAGCAGUGGGGAAUAUUGCACAAUGGGCGCAAGCCUGAUGCAGCGACGCCGCGUGAGGGAUGACGGCCUUCGGGUUGUAAACCUCUUUCAGCAGGGAAGAAGCGGAAGUGACGGUACCUGCAGAAGAAGCGCCGGCUAACUACGUGCCAGCAGCCGCGGUAAUACGUAGGGCGCAAGCGUUGUCCGGAAUUAUUGGGCGUAAAGAGCUCGUAGGCGGCUUGUCGCGUCUGCUGUGAAAGCCCGGGGCUUAACUCCGGGUGUGCAGUGGGUACGGGCAGGCUAGAGUGCAGUAGGGGUAACUGGAAUUCCUGGUGUAGCGGUGAAAUGCGCAGAUAUCAGGAGGAACACCGAUGGCGAAGGCAGGUUACUGGGCUGUUACUGACGCUGAGGAGCGAAAGCAUGGGGAGCGAACAGGAUUAGAUACCCUGGUAGUCCAUGCCGUAAACGUUGGGCACUAGGUGUGGGGGACAUUCCACGUUUUCCGCGCCGUAGCUAACGCAUUAAGUGCCCCGCCUGGGGAGUACGGCCGCAAGGCUAAAACUCAAAGGAAUUGACGGGGGCCCGCACAAGCGGCGGAGCAUGCGGAUUAAUUCGAUGCAACGCGAAGAACCUUACCAAGGCUUGACAUACACCGGAUCGUUCCAGAGAUGGUUCUUCCCUUUUGGGCUGGUGUACAGGUGGUGCAUGGUUGUCGUCAGCUCGUGUCGUGAGAUGUUGGGUUAAGUCCCGCAACGAGCGCAACCCUCGUUCUAUGUUGCCAGCACGUGAUGGUGGGGA